rnacentral:rRNA from 1 species
UACGUAGGGGGCAAGCGUUGUCCGGAUUUAUUGGGCGUAAAGAGCGUGUAGGCGGUUAGGUAGGUCCGUUGUGAAAACUCGAGGCUCAACCUCGAGACGCCGAUGGAAACCAUCUAACUAGAGUCCGGAAGAGGAGAGUGGAAUUCCUGGUGUAGCGGUGAAAUGCGCAGAUAUCAGGAGGAACACCGGUGGCGAAGGCGGCUUGCUGGGCCUUACCUGACGCUGAGGAGCGAAAGCGUGGGGAGCGAACCGG